UGAAUUGCAGAUCUCUCAGUGAACCAUCGAAUUUUUGAACGCACAUAGCGCCCGCCGGUCAUUCCGGCGGGCAUGCCUGUCCGAGCGUCGAUGACGCCGCUCGAGCCCCCGUGCUCGGUGUUGGGGCGCUAGGUCUCCCAGAGGCCUAGGCCCCCAAGUAGCAGUGCGCGGUCCGGCUGCGGGCCCCGGGUAGAGUAACUUCACUGUUGAGAUGCCCUGGGACUCGCUGGCCGGGUCAGCCGUAAAACCCCCGACAUAGGCCUCCCCCAACCCGCCCGCGGGUGACGGGAGACCGCCUAAUGUUGACCUCGGAUCAGGUAGGACUACCCGCUGAACUUAAGCAUAUCAAUAAGCGGAGGAAAAGAAACCAACAGGGAUUGCCCCAGUAGCGGCGAGCGAAGCGGCAAGAGCUCAGAUUUGAAAUCUGGCCGCCCCCGGCGGUCCGAGUUGUAAUCUGCAGGCGGGUUCUCUGGCGAGCGCGCACCACCUAAGUCUCCCUGGAACGGGGCGCCAUAGAGGGUGAGAGCCCCGUGAGGAGGGGCGCGCGAGCCUGUGUGAGGCCUGUCCGACGAGUCGAGUAGUUUGGGAAUGCUGCUCUAAAUGGGAGGUAUAUUCCUUCUAAAGCUAAAUACCGGCCAGAGACCGAUAGCGCACAAGUAGAGUGAUCGAAAGGUGAAAAGCACUUUGAAAAGAGAGUGAAACAGUACGUGAAAUCGUUGCAGGGGAAGCGCUGGUUACCAGUCGCGCACCGGGGGGUUCAGCCUUCGCCUCGGCGUCGGUGUACUCCCCCCGGCUGUGGGUCAGCACCGGCUCCCGCGGCGGGAUAAAUGCCCAGGGAACGUGGCCCUCGCUUCGGCGGGGGUGUUAUAGCCCUGGGCGCAGUGC
rnacentral:rRNA from 1 species